rnacentral:rRNA from 1 species
GACGAACGCUGGCGGCGUGCCUAAUACAUGCAAGUAGAACGCACAGUUUAUACCGUAGCUUGCUACACCAUAGAGUGUGAGUUGCGAACGGGUGAGUAACGCGUAGGUAACCUGCCUGGUAGCGGGGGAUAACUAUUGGAAACGAUAGCUAAUACCGCAUAAUAUUAAUUAUUGCAUGAUAAUUAAUUGAAAGGUGCAAUUGCACCACUACCAGAGGGACCUGCGUUGUAUUAGCUAGUAGGUGAGGUAACGGCUCACCUAGGCGACGAUACAUAGCCGACCUGAGAGGGUGAUCGGCCACAACGGGAAUGGGAAACGGCCCAGGCUCCUACGGGGGGGAGCAGGAGGGAAUCUUCGGCAAUGGGGGAAAGUCUGACCGAACAACGCCGGGUGAGUGAAGAAGGUUUUCGGAUCGUAAAGCUCUGUUGUAUGAGAAGAACGGGUGUGAGAGUGGAAAGUUCACACUGUGACGGUAUCUUACCAGAAAGGGACGGCUAACUACGUG